AUUGAACGCUGGCGGCAGGCCUAACACAUGCAAGUCGAACGAGUGGCGGACGGGUGAGUAAUGUCUGGGAAACUGCCCGAGGGAGGGGGAUAACUAAUGGAAAAGGUAGCUAAUACCGCAUACCAACGGAUGUGACCAGAUGGGAGUAGCUAGUAGGUGGGGUAACGGCUCACCUAGGCGACGAUCCCUAGCUGGUCUGAGAGGAUGACCAGCCACACUGGAACUGAGACACGGUCCAGACUCCUACGGGAGGCAGCAGUGGGGAAUAUUGCACAAUGGGCGCAAGCCUGAUGCAGCCAUGUCGCGUGUAUGAAGAAGGCCUUCGGGUUGUAAAGUACUUUCAGCGAGGAGGCGUUACUCGCAGAAGAAGCACCGGCUAACUCCGUGCCAGCAGCCGCGGUAAUC
rnacentral:rRNA from 1 species